rnacentral:tRNA from 1 species
GCUUCCGUGGCUCAGCUGGUAGAGCAACGCAUUCGUAAUGCGUAGGUCGCCGGUUCGAAUCCGGCCGGGAGCUCCA